GAUGAACCAGAGACAGAAGGACUGAGGACCAGUCUAGAAAAGCUGCGUCUCCCCUGAAGUUUCCUCCAGAGCACAAAGAAUCUGGAGGAUGGCCUGAAGAGGUGUGUGUGCAGGUGUGUGUGCCGCGAUGGAUCAGUGUGAGGACGGAGAGGACGGAGUCCCUCCCCCUGAAGCAAGUCUCUGGGGAGAAGAUGAGAAACACGCCGAAGCUCAGAGCUGUGCAACCAAGCACUCAAGGGAGCUUCCUCCUGAUAUUGCUGAACAGCGUCGUCCAGAAUCUGACUGUGUGUCCCUGAAGAGUGAUCAAUCUAUCAGUGAACCGCUUUUAUUCAAACCUGGAGCAGGACCUGCUGAUGAGGGCGUCAGCCAGCAGAGCUCCCAGGUUCUCCGUGGAGGCUCCGCCCCUCAGCAU